CCUACGGGUGGCAGCAGUGAGGAAUAUUGGUCAAUGGGCGCAAGCCUGAACCAGCCAAGUCGCGUGAGGGAUGACGGCCCUACGGAUUGUAAACUUCUUUUGUCGGGGAGCAAGUCCGGCCACGUGUGGCCGGAGCGAGAGUACCUGAAGAAAAAGCAUCGGCUAACUCCGUGCCAGCAGCCGCGGUAAUACGGAGGAUGCGAGCUUUAUUCGGAUUCAGUGGGUUAAAGGGGUGCGUAGGCGGAUGGUUAGGUCGGCGGUAAAAUCUUGUGGCUUAACACAGGACUGCCGUUGAAACUGGUAUUCUUGAGUGAGCGAGAGGUAUGCGGAAUGCGUGGUGUAGCGGUAAAAUGCGUAGAUAUCAAGAGGAACACUGAUUGCGAAGGCGACAUACCAGAGCACAACUGACGCUGAGGCGCGAAAGCGUGGGGAGCAAACAGGAUUAGAUACCCCUGUAGUC
rnacentral:rRNA from 1 species